rnacentral:rRNA from 1 species
GACGAACGCUGGCGGCGUGCCUAAUACAUGCAAGUCGAACGGAGUUGCUUGUUUUGAUCCCUUCGGGGUGACGAACUUGUAACUUAGUGGCGGACGGGUGAGUAACGCGUGAGCAACCUGCCUUACAGAGGGGGACAACAGUUGGAAACGACUGCUAAUACCGCAUAAUAUGUUUUUGAGGCAUCUUGAAAACAUCAAAGAUUUAUCGCUGUAAGAUGGGCUCGCGUCCGAUUAGAUAGUUGGUGAGGUAACGGCUCACCAAGGCUACGAUCGGUAGCCGGACUGAGAGGAUUAACGGCCACAUUGGGACUUAGAUACGGCCCAGACUCCUACGGGAGGCAGCAGUAAGGGAUAUUGCACAAUGGGGGAAACCCUGAUGCAGCAACGCCGCGUGAGGGAAGAAGGUUUUCGGAUUGUAAACCUCUGUUUUUAGUGAAGAAACAAAUGACGGUAGCUAAAGAGGAAGCCACGGCUAACUACGUGCCAGCCGCCGCGGUAACAC